GCGGAAGUAGUUCAGUGGUAGAACACCACCUUGCCAAGGUGGGGGUCGCGAGUUCGAGCCUCGUCUUCCGCU
rnacentral:tRNA from 2 species